CCGAUCCUUUUCAAUUUUUUUUUGCUUUUUUUUAACUUAUGUUUUUAGAAGUGUGCAAAAUUUGAGUUAAGAUCAACGGUUUAUUCAUAAGUUAUUGAGGUUUAAAUGUGUUGUAGGAAUUACUAGGAUUUGAUUUAGGAUUUAGGGUUUGGAUUAGGAUUUGAUUUAGGGUUUGGUUAGGAUUUUAUUUAGGAUUUAGAGUUUGAUUUAGAAUAUUGUUAGGAUUUGGUUCAAGAUUUAGGGUUUGUAUUAGGGUUUGGUUGAAGUUUGGUUUAGGAUUUAAGGUUUGUAUUAGGGUUUGGUUAGGGUUUUAUUUAGGAUUCGGAUUAGGAUUUGGUUUAGAGUUUAAGAUUUGGAUUAGAAUUUGGUUUAGAAUUUGGUCAGGGUUUGAUUUAGGAUUUGGUUUAGAAUUUGGUUGGAGUUUGGUUUAAGAUUUGUUUAGGAUAUGAUUCAAGGUUUAGGAUUUUAUUAGUAUUUAAGAUUCAAUUAGUUUUGGCCUAAAGUUUGAAUGAAGUUUAAUAGGAUUUUAAAUAAAAUUAAAUUAAGAUAUAUUUUAGUGAUAAUUAUGAUCAUUUUAAUAUUUCUUUAAGAAUUCUUAUUGUUUGUUUGAAAUUUCUUUGAGGUUUUUUUGAAUUUGAUUAAGCUUAUUUAGCAUUAUUAUGGUCUAAUUAGAGCAUUGUUAGUAUUCUAUUACAAUUAGGAUUUUGUUAUUGCAAUUUCUAUUCUUCCUUCCACAGCCAAGUGCCUAGAGCAUUCUCAAGCAAGACUUCUUGUAUUACGACAUAUUUGGUGAACCCAACGUGAAGCGCUUGAGGUAGAAGGAAUUUAGUUUUCUUGGAUUAUUUGAAUUU
rnacentral:lncRNA from 1 species